rnacentral:rRNA from 1 species
UACAGAGGUCCCAAGCGUUGUUCGGAUUCAUUGGGCGUAAAGGGAGUCUAGGCGGUUUGGUAAGUGGGAUGUGAAAUCCCCGGGCUCACCCCGGGACCUGCAUCCCAAACUGCUGAGCUUGAGUACAGGAGAGGGUGGGGGAAUUCCAGGUGUAGCGGUGAAAUGCGUAGAUAUCGGAAGGAACAUCAGUGGCGAAAGCGACUUCCUGGACCAAUACUGACGCUCAUGUGCGAAAGCGUGGGGAGCAAACAGG